CAGCACCUCAAGUGGUCAGGAUGAUUAUUGGGCCUAAAGCAUCCGUAGCCUGCUUUGUUAGUUUUCGGUUAAAUCCAUAUGCUCAACGUAUGGGCUGCCGGGAAUACUGCAGCGCUAGGGAGUGGGAGAGGUAGACGGUACUCGGUAGGAAGGGGUAAAAUCCUUUGAUCUAUUGAUGACCACCUGUGGCGAAGGCGGUCUACCAGAACACGUCCGACGGUGAGGGAUGAAAGCUGGGGGAGCGAACCGGAUUAGAUACCCGAGUAGUCC
rnacentral:rRNA from 1 species